AAGUGGGCGGGGUUAGAAUUUCGUGCGUAGGGAAAAGCGCUUGGUUAUUACAACUUGAAUUUAGAGGAGAAGAGCGGCGGACAAAAGUGUCUGGAAGGAGAUUUUGUUACAAACCUGAGCCGCGCAUAAUUGCAGGCAGGAAAGUGCUCUAAUAAAAAAGCUCUACAGAGAAUCAUUAAAACUGCCCAGAAUAUCAUCGGACUCCAGCUACCAGCCCUGGACGACAUCUUCGAAUCUCGCUGUUUGAGAAAGUUGCAUAACAUUCUCAGAGACUCUUCCCAUCCUGUUUACAAUUUUUUUAGACUGUUGCCUUCUGGCAGAAGAUACAGAACAAAACUCGGACCACACAUUUUCUGAAUAGUUUUUAUCCAAAAGCUAUAAUUGCACUCAACAAUGAACUAAAGGGCCACCAUCAGUGAGUUGUUGGACAGUAUUACUUGGUCUGUUGUGUGGAUGUUUGGGUGGUUUAGGGGUGGAGAAUUGUGGUGGGUGGGAGUGUGUUUGGGGAUUGUUAUGUGUGUUGAACCUAGUCUUUGGGUGUUAAGUGAAUUUUGUUGUAUCGGUAUACUGUGUAUACAUGUACAAUGACAAUAAAGUUAUGAGUAUUUUCCUGCUUGCAGUUCUUGCUAGAUGCAAUUGAUAUAACAUAAUGUUUGCACUUAUUUUCUGGUCUGGUUAAUACAUAAUGCUAAGCAAUUAUAGAGUUAGUUUACUUUUCCUAUGCAAAUCAGACCAUUCAACAAACCAUGAUAAAAAUCCUGGCUCAGGAGAUUUCUGGUGAGGAAAUGGUAAACUGAUCCCACAAACAGCAGAAACAUUGUGGUUGAAAAUGGCAACUGGAUGCUGGAUCUGGACCAUUGAAAUCUCUCUGGAGAAAGAAGAGAUCUUGAGAUUGCCCAUAUAUACACUGGACAGCUGGGGUAAAGGUAGUAAGUACACUGCAGAAACCAGGAUGGAUAAAAAUCAAUGAUUUUUUUUAAAAAAUUAAAAAAAUCAGAUUUUUUUUAUUUAAAUCGGAUUUAUUUUAAUAAAAAACUUGGGGUAAAAAUCUAUCGUAAGAUAGUUUUCUAUUUAAGAUAAAUAAUUUAGUUUAUUCAGCAUAAAAUGGAGCUUAGUUAUGUAGCAUGAGGCUGUAUAUUCUGCAACACUGGGACUAUCGGUGAGUGAACAGUGGGUCAAAGGAGUAGCAGAGAUGACAGUUGCUCUUUAAAAAUUAUGAUUUAAAUCGAGUUGAUUUAAAUCAAGCCUUUUUACUAGUGAUUUAAAUCAUGAUUUAAAUUGUGAUUUAAAUCAACUCGAUUUAAAUCAAAUCCACCCUGACAGAAACUGAGGUUUGCAAUUGCUUUCAAACAGCUGAUAUUAGCCGGAUUCCACCAAACUCAUAGCCCUCAAGGCACCCUUUCAAGGUUCAACCAAACCUCACUUAAUCAUUUUGGAGUUUAUCUUUUUUUAGGUUGCUUUUUAAAGAUUAAAGACCUUCAGAACUGGAAAUGUGAUCAUAUUAAGUUCUUCAAUUUUUAGGAAAGAAGUUUUAAUUAUAAUUCAGACUUUUCCAAAAAUUUUUAAAUAUGCAGCAAAAGUGCUGAUUUGAGAAUUUUUUAAAUGGAUGAAAGGUCCAGAUUGACUUGAAUUAGAACUUUAAAAUUACAGUAACUAUAAGAAUCCUUCCUGUGGAAAGUUAUCUAUGUUUGCACUUGGAAUUGAUAAGGUGAUUUUGAAAAUUGGUCACUAGAGGGCACCAGAAGGAAAUAAAUUAUCAAUAAAUUCUUUAAGAGAAAUCUAUGAUUAUUGGGCUCCAAAAAUAAGUUAUCUGCUAUUAUUGAAAAAAUGGAUGAUGUUAUAGAAGAGGAACAAGUUACAUCGAAUAAAACAAAUUAAUUUAAAUGUGGAUUUGAAAAUGAUAGCAUAUAAGAGAUAGAAAAAGAUGAAAUAAUGGAUAUACAAAAAAAAAAUACAUUUGCAAAUGAGAUUUGUUGAUUAUUUAACAAUUUAAAAGACACACAACUACUAAACCAGAAGAAUGAUGUAAAUAUUCUCCUUAUAGUGGAUUUAUUAAAGGGACUUGUUGAAGUUGUCAUUGAUUUCUUGAGAACAGAAAGAAUACAAACACAAAAGAAUAUGUGGAUAACCUUUUAAUACUUUAAUUACAAAAAGGGCCUUUAAAGAAUAUGAAAAGGAAGCAGAUGUUAGGAAAUUGUUUGAGGGGACUAAAGAUUUUCAGGAAAAGGAGGAAAGAAUAUAAAAUUGUUUUAUUUGAUCAAGGCUAAAAUAAAUAGAUUGCUAGAAAAGGAGAUAAAGUAAAAGAAAGCAUUCAGACUAGAUUUAUUAGAUAUAGUUUAUCUGGGCAUUUAUAUCAUGCUUGUGAAGAAGGCAUGGAAGAGGCUGUUCUUCCUGAGAAUGCUCAGGAAGAUAAAUCUAUCUCAGGAUCUACUUCUGUCCUACUCUUGCAGGACCAUUGAGAGUGUCCUGACUUAUGGCAUUCUUGCAUGGUAUGGGAGCAGCUCUGUAGCAGACAAAAAAGCUCUACAGAGAAUCAUUAAAACUGCCCAGAAUAUCAUCGGGCUCCAGCUACCAGCCCUGGGCGACAUCUUCGAAUCUUGCUGUUUGAGGAAGUAACAUUCUCAGAGACUCUUCUCAUCCUGCUUACAAUCUUUUUGGACUGUUGCCUUCUGGCAGAAGAUACAGAACAAUUAAAACUUAGAUCACACAUUUUCUGAAUAGUUUUUAUCCCAGAACUAUAAUUGCACUCAACAAUGAACUAAAGGGCCACCAUCCGUGAGCUGUUGGACAGCAUUACUUGGUCUGUUGUGUGGAUGUUUGGGUGGUUUAGGGGUGGAGAAUUGUGGUGGGUGGCAGUGUUUGGGGAUUGUUAUAUGUGUUGGGCCUGGUCUUUGGGUGUUAAGUAAAUUUCGUUGUAUGGGUAUACUGUGUAUACAUGUACAAUGACAAUAAAGUUGUUAUUAUUAUUAUUAAUGCUGUAGUUAUUUCUGAUAAUCCUUAAUAGACUUUUGCUGGCUAAGAUGGUGUGAUGAGAUUGAUUUAUAAAGAAGGGUAUGAGUUAUGGAAUGAAGAUAUGGGUUAGUUGUAUUUUAAGAGAUGGUGAUAUGCUGUUAAUGUUGAUUACACUUGCUGAGGAUAUAGAGCGAGCUUUUGUUCUCUUUUUCUUUAUUUUUUCUUUUUCUGCAUUCUGUGUAUGUGUGUGUGCCCGCGCCUGUGUAUAGUAUUAGUUUAAUGUGUGUAACAUAAUUGUAAUAAAAAUACAAAUCACGAUAAUGCAUGAAUUCAUUCCGUAUUUGCUGAAGGGUGGGCAGCAAUAUGUACAUUUUGCAAUGUAUGCUUACUCUAAAGUGUACUGCUCCAACUAAUUUAAUUUCUAGCUGAAAUUAUUUUAUCUGCAGGCUUUCUACUAUAAAAAGCAAAUUCCCAGAUUUGUGGUUGCUGUCUAAGUCUAGCAAUAAAUUCGAGGAAGAGCUACAUAAUCUGUUCUUUAAAGGGUUUUCUCUGCAAAAUGGUUCUGUGAGACAACUCGCUGAGGGACAACUUGCUUUGGGCAAUUCAACAAUUCAAUUUAAUUAUUUAAUUAAAAAUAUUUUAAUUUUUGUCAUUUACAUUUCAUUUUGUCACUCCUUUGGCAUCCUUUCUUUAAUGAUUCUAUUCUACCAUUUCUUUGAUAUCAGUGUAACUCUUGUCCCGCUGUGUGUUGGCCUGGGGCGAGUUGGCUAUGGCAAGUUGCCCUGUUUUGGGUUAACUUUUAUUGUUAAGGAUAGCCCAGGGAUGGCUGGUGCUGAUGCUAAUUUUGUUGCUAAUCAAAUAAAUAUAUCUUACAGAUGGUCAAAGACUAGAAGUUCUUUAUACAAUGGAUAUAAUUAAAAGAAAAAUAGUGGGAAAAUAGAAAGAAUACACAAAAAAACUUGGUUUACUGCAUUAAGUGAUAGAAUUCCAUAGGAUCUGCAGUGUUACACAUUAUACAAAGAGUCUGAACAGCAAAGCCAAUGGACAGCAUCUCCCCCCGCCCCCCAAAAAAGAUUUCUAAGAAUGAAUCUGCUUGUAGGAAAAAUACAUUCUCAUUAUCUGACCUGUAGGACAGUUAGAUAAUCAAGGCUUCAUCCAAUCAAUGUCCCAUGUCAAAUAAAAUGAGCAGCCAAGUCAAAUGUGUAACUGACUCAAUUUCCCCAGCUGAGAAAGAACAAAGGCAAACUUGAAUUUGAAAUGUGCAUAAUUUCUAAAUAGAGUUUUAUUUAUUAGCAAGUGUGUGCGCGAUCCCGUUGUGAACCAGUAGUAAAGGUAAGUAGAACCCACCCCUGUUCUGACCUGAGGAAAGCACAGAACAAAAUAAUAAAGCUGUAUUUUAGAAUAGGAAAGGUUUGAUAUUCUAUUGAUUAAUGAUAAUGGCUGAGAAUUUGGAUGUUUUGUUUCUUCUUAAACAAUUCUAAUUCUUGGAACAAAGAGCCCAAGAUAGAAAGUUCUUCUUCAGUAAACUGUAGGACCAUUGCUAAGAAUAAUUACCAGUGAUUACAAGUGGAAGUUGGAACAGAGUUGUCAACCUGACCUAAAUAGAUUGUUUGCAAAUCAAAAAUACUGUAAAAAAAAAUACUGUAAUUCAUAAUAGACACCACAACAAUAAAUAUUGAUAGUACUAGCCUAGAAACCCGGAAUCUUGUGAAUUCUAGACUUCCCUUGGGUAUGAAAGGCUAGGCACUCUCAAUGGGGAAAACAGCAGGAGUAUUACAUAUAUUACCACUUUGAGUUGUAGUAUAUAUAAAAAAGUGGGAUAAAAAUGUAAUAAUAGCAAUAUUUAUAAUUUUAAAAAUAGAGAAGAUACUUUUACACAAAAUUAAAAGGCUGUAACAUGCUAACCUAUAUAGAUUACCAUUAUCUGGUUCAGCCCAGACAACCUGUCUGAUUAUCAAUUUAAACAUUUAUUUAUUAUUUAUUUAUUAUUUCAAUAGUGUGGCAGCAAGUAAUAAGAUAAUACAAUAAAGCCAAAUAAAAUAAGUAAUAUUUUAAAUCAUACCCUUUAAAAUACACAGAUAAAUUACCCUGACAGAGAGGCACUUAAAAGACAAAAGGCAUUGUUUGUAAGUCUCAGGUAGAGGAAGGAAAACUACCUGGUACCGAAAGGCAAGUAAUAUUGGCAGCAGCGAAGCCUCUAGGGAAGGCCGUUGUACAGCUGGGCUCAUCUCCCAAUAAUGUGGUUCUCCCAGCCCUAGGAGACUGAGGAGAGCGCCUCUCUGUUCCUACAGAGUGUAAUAUCCUCAUCCAAUAUACUCCUACUCAUCCAAGGGGUAAUGUUACUGGCACCUGGUGCAAUUCUUCCAGGGCUAAUGUUACUUGGUCUGUUAAAACUGUUCUAGAUAACAGGCUUGCUGCUGUAUUUUUCGCUACCUGCAGUUUCCAUCUUCAAAAGGCAGACUUUUCAUAGAGUGCACUGCAAUAACCCAAAAAUAAUGCACUAAAGUGAUCAGGCCAUCCCUGGGAGUUGCAAUUGCGAAGUGAGAUAUAGGUGGCUGGAUGCAUCCAGUGACACCUGGGCCUUGAGUGAUACAGAUGAAUCCACAACCUGAAUUAUGUAUCUGCUUCUGCAAGAGGAAUAUAGCUCCAGGUAUGUUCCCAGACUUGCAAGCUGCCAAUUCAGAGCAUCUCUAUUUUGCUGAUAGUUAACUUCAGUUUAUUACUGAAUAAAUUGAACAUUUGCGCUGUCUUGCCUGAGUCUUAUGAAAUGGAAAAUCAGUUCCAGUGACUUUAGAUUUUAUAAUUGGAGAAGUUAGUUUCGGUCUUAUUUUAAAAGCCAUCACUAUUUAUCUUUUUCCCAUAAUCAGGAGGAAGGGUGGCCUUCACGUAUUCCUUCAAGCAUGUAAAUUUCCUGAUCUAAAAUACUGAUAUAAUUCACUCAUAGUACAUCCAUUCAACAGUGACAUGACCAUCUUGUGACUCUAAACUUGUUGAUACAUUUAUAGAAAAAAAAUCAGCAAACGGAAUAAGUUUGCUGGGAUUUGCCAACUGCCUUUGUUCUUAUGCAGCCAGUUGUCCUCUGUUGUUUGUGGUUUUACAACAAGCAGUGAUAACCCUAGCUUGAAUUUUUUGCUCUCAGUUUGCAAGCUCAUAGCAGUUGCUUUCAUUUCCAGAUCCUUUGGCAUUGUUGCUUGUUUUGAACAGAGAAGUUUCUGUGCCUAUGUGCUACAAUAGUGGCACAUGUCCUCAUUAAAAUAUCUAGAAAUUCAUGUUCUUUUCCUGUAGAACAGAACUUUCUUUUCCGGCCACUGUGGAGGGUUUGCUUCUACAAAAUGCUGAUAUUAAUGAAAGUUGUCAUGGUUUCAAUUGAAGAAGGAGCACAUCAUUGAGAAGAACCAUAUUUAUUGCAAGGUUCCUUGAAUACUUACUUUAGCAAUAGCACUUAGACUUAUAUACCGCUUCACGGUGUUUUACAGCCCUCUCUAAGAGGUUUACAGAGUCACCAUAAUGCCCCCAACAAUCUGGAUCCUCAGAAGGAUGGAAGGCUGAGUGAGAUGACCUUGACUUAGGAGCAGCCGAAUCUUUCUUCAGCACUGACAAGUAGUCGAAUCUUGAUUAAUCCAUGGCUGCUGCCUGAGGCUAUCUUCUCUCCCCCUGCCUGAAGGUAGAACAUGCCUACAUUACAAUAAUAUGAAAAGGAAAGCAUCUGCACAGUAAGUCAACAUUUGGUGUAACUUCAAGAGGAUUAAACAAUACAAACACAGGAAGGAAACCAUCAACUGCUCCUCAAUGAGUGCCUGGUCAGAAGAUCAAAGGCAAAGCUGAUGAUUACAGCAAUCUUGGCCAGUGUCCUACAUGCACUGAUAAAUGCAUGAGGAUGCUACAUAUGUUGAUUGAUAUAUAUAUCCCAUAUGUUAAUAAAAAGUAACCUCAAGUAAA